GUGGUGUGAUUUCAAUCUCAGCUCACUGCAACCUCUGCCUCCCCGGUUCAAGUACUGCCAACAAGAAGGCCCAAUCAUGAUCCUCCCACAACAAGAGCAGAUUGUGAGCAUGGCAAGCUCUAUGCUGAGCACUGGAAGGACAAAGAGAGAUUGGGCACAGACUUCUCACUGAUCCAGGUGAUGAGGAGCUCACAUCUGAGAGGAUGUGACCAUGGAUGACCCACCAGAAUGUCAUGGGAUCCAGCUACAGCCAAGGAAGCACAGAGCACCGUGGGAGCGAUUUAUUGUGCUUGGGGAUGGGGAAGGGGACAUGGGAGGAGCCAUAUUGAGAAAGUAACAUGGGUACUUGGCUUCACAGAGUGUGGCCGCUUUCAUCAGGAAGCGAUGGUGGGGGAACAGCGUCUCUGGCGGAGGGAAGCAGCAGGUGCAGAGGUGCAGAGGUGUGCGGAGUCUGUCACAUUCUGGGAACGGAGUAUGGUUGGGUGACAAUGCAAGACAGAGAAAGCAAGGAGGGAAGGAGGGGCCUAGCCUGAGGAAUAAAGAAUAAUAAAAGCAGGAAAACAAUU
rnacentral:lncRNA from 1 species